rnacentral:rRNA from 1 species
AUCCGCUGAAUUUAAGCAUAUAAUUAAGCGGCAGAAAA